rnacentral:rRNA from 1 species
GACUCUCGGCAACGGAUAUCUCGGCUCUUGCAUCGAUGAAGAACGCAGCGAAAUGCGAUACUUGGUGUGAAUUGCAGAAUCCCGUGAACCAUCGAGUCUUUGAACGCAAGUUGCGCCCGAAGCCAUUAGGCCGAGGGCACGCCUGCCUGGGUGUCACA